UUUACCCUUACUUAAACAUCAGUUUGAAUGCUUUACUUUUUAAUUCAAAAAUUAAAAAAAUAUAAUUUAAUCACGUUUUUAAUGCCACGCAAUAAAAAACUACACUGCCAACUUAGAACAUGUCGAUUUUUUUAUAUCUCUUAAACCUAUUUGAAAACUUUUUCUAUAUAGGUUAAACGAUAUAACCAAUAUAGAUUAUUCAAUUCUGAUUUACCCUAGAUCUCCUUUCGGCUUCACUUUCUCUAUUAUUCAAUUCUUCUCCUUCGUUCUCAUUUUCGUUUUCGCGCUACACAUCCUUUCUCUUAUAUGUUUUUUGUCAUUGUUCUCGUUCACUAUUUGCUAUCGUCAUGGUGGUUGAGUGAAGUUAUUGUUCAUCGUUGCUUAUUGCCAUUGUUGGUUCAAGCUCUUGUUGCUGUGGUGGCGGGUCAACCUUUAAUUGUCAUUAUUGGUUGAAGUUAUCGCCGUGGUGGGUGGGUGAAGCUCUUGUCUAUUAUUAAUGAAGCCCUCGCCUGGUUGGUCCUCUAAUGUUUUGUCUUGGUGGGUUUGUAAGUUGUAGUGCGUGGUGUGCGUUUGGCCCUUCUCUAGCGGUGUGUUAUGGUGUUUGACCGUUGUCGCGUGAUGUGUUGGGUGUUCCAACUAUAGAUACUACCAUAACUGCUUGGUUAACUUGACAGGGCACCAUUUCCUUUGCCCAUAAGUUGAUCUUGGAAUUUCAGCUCCCGGACAAAAAAAGGUUGUUGAAGCCUAAUAUAUGGUUUCUACCUCCAUGGUAGUGGGGGUGCCACCAAGUGGAUGACUGCCAGAAUUGGAAACCAAAGUGAUAAAAUGUCAAAUAUAUCAAAGGCUAUAAGAGCAGAGGUCAAGUUCUCCUGAUGUCCAUCAUUGUUACUGAUGUAUCCAAGGUCCAAAUAUGCAAACUCUUUGUUGAUGAAACAGUCAAAUACUUUGGAAGUCGCGUGUCAGUAGAAGAAGCUACUCACAUUAUAGUGCUCAUCAUACUUCGAUUACUGUAGCAAGACAUUUGCUGAAAUUGCACCACACCAAGAUGAUGUCAUCGCAGCAGAAACCAGAAAAGAUGUGGCAACACCGAUGACCAUUGAAGAAAGGAACCGAGAAGGGGAAGACAAAAACAACACAUCCACAAUGUGCUAUAAUCCCACAGCAAAAUAAAUGGCCCGACUACAGAAGUGGCUGCUGUACCUGCAGCACAAGAGGAUAUACGCCGGGUCUUUGAUCUGAAUAAAACGCCUCAACCAAAACAACCUUAAAGAAGAAAGCACCGGCCCAAGGUCAUAAAAGAAGGCCAACCAAAAAGAACAAUCAAGAAAGCCGCUGCAGAGACUGUUCAAUCUAAAGAAAACCAAGCUGACAAGAGGAAGGCGAGGAAAGGAUUGAACACAACUUCUCCACAAACAGAAGUGACAGGAGAAUGGACAUCGGGGCCUAAAUCAACCGUAAAGACAUGUAAAAGGUCCUUGAGUUUUGGGAGCAAAGAGCAAGCAAUAGACGAUCCUGGACGCAGAGAAAAUAUGCUCUUUGCCAAUGCCAGCAGCUCAAGGAAUUGGGUGGCUGAUCAUAAUGGACUUCAAGAGUGUCCAAAUAACUCCAUUGGCAGAGACGGUUGGAGCACAGGAUGUGGAUUACAAGCUGUCGGUUCUAAGAGAAAAACAACCUGGUAUUGAACAGGAAGAUAAUACCAGCAUUAAUCUGUUAGGAUCACAAUAUAGUGACAUGAGUUUCCAAAUGUUCAGAAGAAAAGGAGAAGCGUCAAGGGAGAAUUUUAGAGGCGCCACAUAAAUCUUCUGUGACUGCCACCAAAGAUUUCCAACCGGCAACAUUCUUACAAGAUGCCAGAUCACAUUCUUAUAUGUCAAGUCCCAAGUGCUAAGCUUCUGGUUCAGAUUAUACUGCAGCUGGAGUCCCAGUCUUCAGCUACAGAAAGAGGUAUUCAGGACAAACAUCAACCCCUUGAGUACACGUUAUCCUUAGGGCAGAAGAGGCCGACCAAAAGAAGAUGAAGAGCUUCUACAAGAACUGAUGUUGGUCUAGCACAUACUGCAAAGCAAAUGUGUAGCUCUGACAGACGAACAUUUGGUGAUGCAGAAGGGCCACAGACAUGCAUUGAUGCUUUAGUUGCAGAUUUGGGAGCAUCACUCACAAAAAAGAAACGAACAGGAAAGAGAAGUCCUGUCAGUUAUGCAUCCUCCCUUUUUUUGUUUGCAUUAUCCAGCCAACAUUACGAAUAGUGACCAAAUUUAUCACAAUUGUAACACUGAAUUAUUCUCUUAUCAACAUUCUUCUUGCCAUA